rnacentral:rRNA from 1 species
GAGUUUGAUCCUGGCUCAGAACGAACGCUGGCGGCAUGCCUUAUACAUGCAAGUCGAACGAGAAAGUCACUUCGGUGGCGAGUACAGUGGCGCACGGGUGAGUAACGCGUAGAUGAUCUACCCUUCAGUCUGGGACAACUCUUGGAAACGGGAGCUAAUACCGGAUAAAACCUUCGGGUUGAAAGAUUUAUCGCUGGGGGAUGAGUCUGCGUACCAUUAGCUUGUUGGUGGGGUAACGGCCUACCAAGGCGACGAUGGUUAGCGGGUCUGAGAGGACGAUCCGCCACACUGGAACUGAGACACGGUCCAGACUCCUACGGGAGGCAGCAGUAGGGAAUAUUGCGCAAUGGGGGCAACCCUGACGCAGCAAUGCCGCGUGAGUGAAGAAGGCCUUCGGGUCGUAAAGCUCUUUUAUGGGGGAAGAUGAUGACGGUACCCCAUGAAUAAGCACCGGCUAACUACGUGCCAGCAGCCGCGGUAAUACGUAGGGUGCGAGCGUUGUUCGGAAUUACUGGGCGUAAAGGGCGUGCAGGCGGAUUGGCAAGCCGGAGGUGAAAGCCCGGGGCUCAACCCCGGAGGGUCUUUCGGAACUGCCAGUCUUGAGAGGGUCAGGGGCCAGCGGAAUUC